rnacentral:rRNA from 1 species
AGUGAACGCUGGCGGUAGACCUAACACAUGCAAGUCGAACGGCAGCACAGUAAGAGCUUGCUCUUACGGGUGGCGAGUGGUGGACGGGUGAGGAAUACAUCGGAAUCUACUUUUUCGUGGGGGAUAACGUAGGGAAACUUACGCUAAUACUGCAUACGACCUACGGGUGAAAGCAGGGGAUCUUCGGACCUUGCGCGAUUGAAUGAGCCGAUGUCGGAUUAGCUAGUUGGCGGGGUAAAGGCCCACCAAGGCGACGAUCCGUAGCUGGUCUGAGAGGAUGAUCAGCCACACUGGAACUGAGACACGGUCCAGACUCCUACGGGAGGCAGCAGUGGGGAAUAUUGGACAAUGGGCGCAAGCCUGAUCCAGCCAUACCGCGUGGGUGAAGAAGGCCUUCGGGUUGUAAAGCCCUUUUGUUGGGAAAGAAAAGCAGCAGGUUAAUACCCCGCUGUUCUGACGGUACCCAAAGAAUAAGCACCGGCUAACUUCGUG